UACAGAGGUCCCAAGCGUUGUUCGGAUUCACUGGGCGUAAAGGGUGCGUAGGCGGUGGGGUGAGUUUGGGGUGAAAUCUCCGGGCCCAACCCGGAAAAUGCCUUGAAUACUAUCCUGCUUGAGGAUCGGAGGGGAGACUGGAAUUCUCGGUGUAGCAGUGAAAUGCGUAGAUAUCGAGAGGAACACCAGUGGCGAAGGCGGGUCUCUGGACGAUUCCUGACGCUGAGGCACGAAAGCCAGGGGAGCAAACGGG
rnacentral:rRNA from 1 species